UUACAGAGCCGCCAUACUAAGCCCUUGCAGGGGUGGAAAAUUUUCCCUUCCUCCCUUCCAGAUUCUGUGAGUGCUUGUCAGUGAUAGGACCUACCAGAAGCUGACGAGGAGGUCUGGGAAAUGUAGUUUUUCGGCUGCCAAGCACUGGACAUAGAAGGGAAAAUAGCAAGAUAUUGCCGUGGAAACGUCAAUUCCCCAGGCCAAGAAGACCCCCGUUUCCCAGAAGCUACUUCUACAAACUCUAGAAUAUAGAUGAGCCUGGCCCAAUCACGCGCUACGUCCGGACCCAGCGGAUUUGCAGCACACCUGCAUUGGAGCAGUCUCCUCGGUCUUGGCCGUGGUCUCCGUUCCCACCAUCCGCUAAGGAGCAUCUGAUUAAGUGGCAUUGCUGUAUCCACAUGCGAUUUACAAAAAUACUAUUUUAUCCUCACCAUCAGUACUGUUUGUGGCUGCGCACUGGAUAGGAAUAAUUUCAGAAGGUUCCAGCUGGCCUUCCUCAAAAGGCACCGAUCCUCCAAUCAAAUGUCAAUGACCAAGUCUGGACCAAUGGCGUUCUCUGUCGUGGGAAUUUGGAAUCAGAAAACUGAGAGUCUGAGUCAGGUGUACCCACAGGAUGAUGGGCACUUGACCUCAAAGGUCAUAGACAACUGGCCCUGACAUUGAUACCCAAGCAAACCUGGACCCCCACAAGGCUGUGAGAUCUGUAAGAUCAUCUGUUGUAAUUCUGUAGGAACACUCCUCUUAACUUCAGCUAGUUCAACAGGAUUUCUUUGCUUUGCAACCAG